AGAAUCAACGCUGGCGGCGUGCCUAACACAUGCAAGUCGAACGAGAAAGUGGAGCAAUCCAUGAGUAAAGUGGCGACCGGGUGAGUAACACGUGACUAACCUACCUUCGAGUGGGGGAUAACCUAGGGAAACCUGGGCUAAUACCGCAUAACAUCUUUGGAGUGGAAAUUCUGGAGAUCAAAGGAGCAAUUCGCUUGAAGAGGGGGUCGCGGCUGAUUAGCUAGUUGGCGGGGUAAUGGCCCACCAAGGCUUUGAUCGGUAGCCGGCCUGAGAGGGCGCACGGCCACACUGGAACUGAAACACGGUCCAGACUCCUACGGGAGGCAGCAGUGGGGAAUUUUGCGCAAUGGGGGAAACCCUGACGCAGCAACGCCGCGUGGAGGAUGAAGUCCCUUGGGACGUAAACUCCUUUCGACCGGGACGAUUAUGACGGUACCGGUGGAAGAAGCCCGGCUAACUUCGUGCCAGCAGCCGC
rnacentral:rRNA from 1 species